GCUCUUAUAGCUCAGUUGGCAGAGCGCGUCCUUGGUAAGGACGAGGUCUCCAGUUCGAAUCUGGAUAAGAGCUCCA
rnacentral:tRNA from 1 species